AUCUUUCGCGUUCUCUGUGUUUUCCUUUCCAGCACUCUCAUCUGGCUACACCGAUUUUGUUCAUCUCGCCUCGCCAUGUAUAUUUGUGCAUUUUUUCCCAUCGAUGGUCUGUUGUUGUUUUCUUGUGAUGAAUGAAAUGCUCCCAAACAUCAAAUAGCAUUGGCGUGAAGCACUGAAAACUGCAUAGCUGUUUGAAAAGGACCGCUACUCUGUGGUCUUUGUGCUUCCCUUUUCAUCCUGCUUAGAAUGGGCAGCGUAUUGGACAGCGCUCAGCUUUGUUUUCGUUUUGAAGCUUAUUGCAUUUUUGCAAUCGUCACCCCAAGGUUCAUCACACCUUGUGAUAAUAUCCAGUUCCGUUCCUAAUGUUUACUUUGCAAUUAGGAGCAAAUCACUCAUGCCUGUGGGGUCUGUUGCUAUAGUUACAAUAGGGUUCUGAGGUCUAUCAUCUGGUCCUUGCGUCCACCAAUCAGGUUGCAGAGCUGGAGCUGCAACAUAAAGUAAAGAUGCACAUCUUUCAGCAACACAGUAGUAAGAAACAGAAAGAGAUUCAUGAGUAUAAGAAAGUACUCUGGGGUGGCAAGUAGGCGACUGCGCCCAGUCAUGGCGGACCACAGAAAUCACAGCGGAGGAGACACCCAGCAGGAGAGGCAGAUUCGAAUGGGGACAGUGAAUUACCUGGAAUGGACCGUUUCUUUGUGGACAUUCGCCUUGGAUUCUCUGAAAAAGAGGAGGAUGCAGUUUUUACAGGAACUUGAUCUAGUUAAUGGUAUUGAAAUGGAAUCUUCUGUCAAUGGAGGGAGAGCUGGGGGAAGCCAGAAAACGCAAGACAGAAACUUACCGUUUCAUCAGGUAAUCGGUUUACCUUUUUUAUUCAUGUUAACGGACUGAAUUAUGGGAACAAAACAAAUGUUAAGUGCAGAUAUAUAGUUAGGAAUUGCAAUGUCUUGAUAAUAAAUGUAUUUACAAUACUGUGCGUAUGUGUAUACAGUGUAUAUAUAUAUAUAUGUUGUAUACACACACACACACACACACACACACACAUAAAAAAAAGUCAUUUCAUAAUAAAAAAAAAAAAAAAACACCUACCAAACCCAAACUUUUGAACUGCAGUGUAUCUUGUAUACAAAAAAAAGAAAAGGAAAUGAAAAAGGAAUUGUUCAUUUGGCAUGGUCAUCAAAAUUUCCUACAUUUUUGGUAAUCUUGACUUGGCAAACCAUGACAAAUGUUCCUUUAAUGUUCUUUUGUGAAAGUUAAGGUGUGUCAAAUUCCGAGAUGAAUGCCUAACUACACCCAGUCUUGAUUUCCCAUGAGCAGUUUGUAAUAUGUCAUUAAAUUCAUGGUUCCACACAAACCCCUCUUCCAUUUUCAGAUGAGCUAAUCAAAUAAAGUCAUAAAAAGGAGGAACAGGGCUUCACAUUCCAAAGGCCUUUGAUCUUUUUGCAAUGAAUCCAUGAGAUUACAUGCCUGAUUAUAUCCAGGUGUUGAGUCAUAACUUCAGAGGUUCAGAGCAUACAAAGUAAUAUUCCUCUUUAAGGCCUGCUAAUUUUUUCAAAGGCAGGUUCUUUAACACUAUACAGCCCGUUCAAAGUCAUAAGAUGUGAAUUCCUUCACUGAACUAACUCAUAAAUCCAGAAUUACCUUCCACAUAUCAUUUGCAGAGGUUUUGACUCUCACAAUGUUCGCCUGUCUAUGUCCACUCUGAUGAAAUACAGUAUUUCUACCCUUCAAUAGACUAAAUAUGGGAUGAAGGAUAUUCGUAUUUCCAGUAAUGUCUGUAAGGUUUAUAAGACUUUAAAAAAAUUAUUGAACAGGAUUAUAAAGAUACUUUCUGCUGCAUGCUUUUUCAUGACUGAAAGAAAAGAGCAGUGUUUAAAUCUCUUGCAUUCUUUCUUUUACCCACGUUGCUUUCAUCUUUUGUCAGAUGGAGAGAUACAAUGCAAAAUGUACCUCGAUUCUAAUCUCUGCUCAAACUGAGAGAGUUGAGGAGGCUUUUUCAUACUCAGGUUUUACUGUGUUAAGCUCAGGCUGGGGAUUUUAGUUUAGUUUAGUUUUUUUGGUAGGUUAAAUUGUAAUUUGAACAAUAAAUUUAUGUGUAAACAGUAUUUGAAUAUUGCACACCAAAGGAACUUACUGUAAAAGGAAGGGAUUUACUGGGUAAACUUUGUUAGAUUACUGCACCUUGAUAGCUAGAAAAUAAAGAGUUGAAAACAGAUAGCAAGUCCAAGCUGUCACGGUAGAGCCAUUAAAUGUGUCAAUGACACUGCAGAUGGAAAACUGUUGACUUCCUCAAGUUUAUAGUCCACUAUAAUUGUACUAAUCAACAAAUAUACAGCUGUGCAUGCAUACAGGACUAUCCUCUAAAUCAUACAGACACUGACACAUCUGCAGAAUGACUACAAAAUGAAUAGAUAUUAGAGGUGCACUCAGUAUGGCUUUGUCUGCAUUUAGUGUGGUUUUGGGUUGACUUAUCAGUUUGGAUGAGGUUUGUUUGCUAACUGUUGCCUCUACACACUAAAGCAGUUUAACCAUCUUUUGUUUUGUUCCUUUUCGGCUGUUUAUUUUGUGUUUUAUACUACAUAUUCUUGCAUUCACUCUUAAGAAAUGUUUCAUGUUGUUGGUGGCUCUGGUCUGGAGACGUUUUUGCAGUGUGGCAGCUGUGACUGUUGUUAAUUUCCACUCGGUGCUUGAAGUCCUGCUGUUUACCCUUGGUCUGUAUAUAUGGAAGCCGGAGGUCGUUGCUUAUGUUUCAU
ensembl:lncRNA